rnacentral:rRNA from 1 species
UACGUAGGUGGCAAGCGUUGUCCGGAAUUAUUGGGCGUAAAGAGCGCGUAGGCGGUCCGAUAAGUCGGCUGUGAAAGUCCAGGGCUCAACCCUGGAAAGCCGGCCGAUACUGUCGGACUAGAGUCCGGAAGAGGCAAGUGGAAUUCCCGGUGUAGCGGUGAAAUGCGCAGAUAUCGGGAGGAACACCAAUGGCGAAGGCAGCUUGCUGGGACGGUACUGACGCUGAGGCUCGAAAGCGUGGGGAGCAAACAGG